UAAACAUUUCUGAUGCAUGGCAACUUGGCCAUUUUUGACAGGUACAGGUAAGGCUGAACUGCACCAACUGGCAAAAGGGUCCACCAACUUAAACUUAGAGCAAAACAAAAAGUGUGGUAUGAAAGAUGAUCCCUCAGCAGAAUAACACAUGAGAUUGUCCCAUAGCCAAACACCAGUGUGAUCAAGAUGACUGUGACGACUACAAAAGCCUUUCUCUUCUGUUGAUGUGCUCCUGCUUUCUCUCUGUCCCCUGGCUUGGGCCUCUUCAAAACCCACAAAAUCAUCAGAGAACAAAACGAACACACAAAUAACGUCACAACGACCAAUCCCGUGCAAAACAACGUAAUCAUUUUAGGGUAAACCAGUGGAUGGACCACAGCCAGGUAUCGCUCCACACAGAAAAAGGCUUGAAAGAGCGGUCGACCCACCAUGAAUGUACUGCUCAGGAAAAUACAGCCACAGAAUCCAGCAGUUCACAGGCAGCAUAAGAACACAGUUCAACAGUGAGAUGAAGCCAGUGAAAACGUUUCCUGGAUAGGAGUCCAUGCACUCAUAAAACGGUUCACCAGAACAGUUGCUUCCAGAUUGAAAGGUUCCCAUCAAAUUGGAUAAACAAUCAACGGUGCUGUUUACUCCCAUAUUCAGCUAGAUUUUCUUUUAUUUUCUAUAUCAAAUAAGGCCGGGUAAAAUAAUUCCAUACAUAUUUUG